CGAGCUGAUCCAGCCAUGCCGCGUGUGUGAGAAGGUCUUCGGAUUGUAAAGCACUUUAAGUUGGGAGGAAGGGCAUUAAGCUAAUACCUUGCUGUUUUGACGUUACCGACAGAAUAAGCACCGGCUAACUUCGUGCCAGCAGCCGCGGUAAU
rnacentral:rRNA from 1 species